rnacentral:tRNA from 1 species
UCCCUGGUGGUCCAGUGGCUAAGACUCUGAGCUCCCAAUGCAGGAGACCUGGGUUUGAGCCCUGGUCAGGGAA